rnacentral:rRNA from 1 species
GGGGGAUAUUGCACAAUGGGCGAAAGCCUGAUGCAGCGACGCCGCGUGAGGGAAGAAGGUUUUCGGAUUGUAAACCUCUGUCUACGGGGACGAAGAAGUGACGGUACCCGUGGAGGAAGCCACGGCUAACUACGUGCCAGCAGCCGCGGUAAAACGUAGGUGGCAAGCGUUGUCCGGAAUUACUGGGUGUAAAGGGAGCGCAGGCGGGCUGGUAAGUUGAAUGUGAAAACUGGGGGCUCAACCCCCAGACUGCGUUCAAAACUACUGGUCUUGAGUGAUGGAGAGGCAGGCGGAAUUCCCGGUGUAGCGGUGGAAUGCGUAGAUAUCGGGAGGAACACCAGUGGCGAAGGCGGCCUGCUGGACAUUAACUGACGCUGAGGCUCGAAAGUGUGGGGAGCAAAC